rnacentral:lncRNA from 1 species
UUUAAUUUAAGAGAAACAAACAACAAAAGAGUAAUAAAAGCUUUAUUUUAUUUCAUAAUUUAUAGUUCUAUUCAGAACAAAGAGAUCCAUAUCCAUUUGGUUAGUUCUUUAAAGAACAAAGAGGAUCUAUGUCUUUGGUUGAAUAAAUUCCUCUUGCCAACGGCCAUGCCUUGGUAAUCCCUUUUUAUGGAAGUCUGGACAGCAGAAAGGGUUAAACCAGCAACAAUCAAGUGCAUCUGCAUGAUGAACACCUUCCAGCUUAGCCAGAAUAACCAUAACCACAAAAAUCACCAUCGCCUUCUUACCAAAACUCAUGCUUCCUUUCGUUAGAAAUAUUUUCUUUUACUGU